AAGUCGUAACAAGGUUUCCGUAGGUGAACCUGCGGAAGGAUCAUUAAAGAGUAAGGGUCUCCGGCCCGAACCUCCAACCCUCUGUCGUUAUAACUACUUCGUUGCUUUGGCGGGACCGCGAAGGUUCUCCCGAGCGCGCCGGUCUCCGGACAGGCGAGCGCCCGCCAGAGUCUAACCAAACUCUUGUUUUAAACCAGUCGUCUGAGUAUAAAAUUUUAAUUAAAUUAAAACUUUCAACAACGGAUCUCUUGGUUCUC
rnacentral:misc_RNA from 1 species